CAGCUCACUGCAGCCUCAACCUCUUGGGCUCAAGCAGUGCUCCUGCCUCAGCCACCAAGUAGCUGGCACGUACCACCACGCCUGGCUAUUUUUAAAUUUUUUUUUUUUUUUUCAGGGACGAGAUCUCACUGUGUUGCCCAUGCUGAUCUUGAAUUCCUGAGCUCAAGCCAUCCUCCCGUUCUAGCCUUCCAAAAGUGCUGAGAUUAUAGGCAUGAGCCAUUGUGCCCCACCAAGAGUCAUUUAUUUAACAUGAGGGUUCACUCUGUGUGUGGCAUUG
rnacentral:lncRNA from 10 species